GUUGCGAUAGCCGAGUGGUUAAGGCGUUGGACUCGAAAUCCAUUGGGAUAUUCCCGCGCAGGUUCGAAUCCUGUUCGCAGCG
rnacentral:tRNA from 1 species